GGAGAGUUUGAUCCUGGCUCAGAGUGAACGCUGGCGGCGUGGAUUAGGCAUGCAAGUCGCGCGAUUUUUCAGUUGGAGAGGUUGAAGCCGCAAGGUGGAUGCCAAUUCGUCUGAUUAAUAGCGGCAAACGGGUGAGUAACACGUGAGUAAUUUACCCUUUAAUCUGACAUAGCCUAGCGAAAGUUAGGGUAAUAUCAGAUGAUAUCUAGAGAACUUAAGUUUUUUAGAUCAAAGGCAGGGACCGUAAGGCCUGCUGUUGAAGGAUGAGCUCGCGUCCUAUCAGCUUGUUGGUAGGGUAACGGCCUACCAAGGCAUUUGACGGGUAGCUAGUCUGAGAGGAUGUUUAGCCACACUGGGACUGAGACACUGCCCAGACUCCUACGGGAGGCUGCAGUCGAGAAUCUUUAGCAAUGGGCGCAAGCCUGACUAUGCGACGCCGCGUGAGGGAUGAAGGUUUUCGGAUCGUAAACCUCUUUCGAUAGGGAAGAAACUUUCAACGUUAAUAGCGUUGAAACUGACGGUACCUAGAGAAGAAGCCACGGCCAACUCCGUGCCAGCAGCCGCGGUAAUACGGAGGUGGCGAGCGUUACUCGGAUUCAUUGGGUGUAAAGGGCAGGUAGGUGGCCUUGUAAGUGAGGGGUGAAAUCCUCCAACUUAAUUGGAGAAUGGCCUUUCAUACUGUGAGGCUUGAGACUGGAAGAGGAGAAUGGAAUUCCCGGUGUAAGGGUGAAAUCUGCAGAUAUCGGGAGGAACACCAGUGGCGAAAGCGAUUCUCCAGCUCAGUUCUGACACUGAUCUGCGAAAGCUAGGGGAGCAAACAGGAUUAGAUACCCUGGUAGUCCUAGCCGUAAACGAUGAGCACUAGGUGUUGGUUCGUAAGGAUCAGCGCCGCAGUUAACACAUUAAGUGCUCCACCUGGGGACUACGACCGCAAGGUUAAAACUCAAAGGAAUUGACGGGGGCCCGCACAAGCGGUGGAACAUGUGGUUCAAUUCGACGCUACGCGAGGAACCUUACCAGGGCUUGACAUGUAAGAAGUAGUGAACUGAAAGGGGAACGACCUGUCAAGUCAGGAACUUACACAGGUGCUGCAUGGCUGUCGUCAGCUCGUGUCGUGAGAUGUUGGGUUAAGUCCCGCAACGAGCGCAACCAUUAUUAUUAGUUGCCACUUCUUGAAGCCGAAAGGCUUUAAAGAAAGCACUCUAAUGAGACUGCCUGGGAUAACCAGGAGGAAGGUGGAGAUGACGUCAAGUCCGUAUGGCCUUUAUGCCCUGGGCUACACACGUGUUACAAUGGCUGGAACAAAGGGAUGCAAAACUGCGAAGUCAAGCUAAACUCAGAAAACCAGCCUCAGUUCGGAUUGAAGUCUGCAAUUCGACUUCAUGAAGCCGGAAUCGCUAGUAAUGGCGGAUCAGCUAUGCCGCCGUGAAUACGUUCCCGGGCCUUGUACACACCGCCCGUCAAGCGAUGGGAGCCGGGGGUACCCGAAGUCCUACGCAAGUAGGCCGAAGGUAAAACCGGUGACUGGCGCUAAGUCGUAACAAGGUAGCCGUACGGGAACGUGCGGCUGGAUCACCUCCUUUCUA
rnacentral:rRNA from 1 species